rnacentral:pre_miRNA from 1 species
UACAAUCAUUUAACUCUGUGUCUUAUUUAAAAUUUUUUAUGAUCAAUAUUUUUAUUUUUAUUGGAUGAUAAAAUAUGAAUAGUAGUUUAUGUGUGACUAAUAUUUUUAAGUUUUUAUAUAAAUUUUUCAAAUAAGACGAAUGGUCAAACGUUGGAUAAAGAAAAAC